rnacentral:rRNA from 1 species
GUAACAAGGUUUCCGUAGGUGAACCUGCGGAAGGAUCAUUAAAGAGAUAGG